rnacentral:lncRNA from 1 species
UUUAAGGUUGCUGAUUUCAUGGCAUUGAUGAUCAGUAAAGGCAGGGACCAUUGGCAUCAAAGUGUUUCGCAAGAAAGAUUUGGGGCUUGAAGACUUGGUCUAAGUCCUAUGUGCUCUGCUAAUCAAAUGAUACUAAGUGUGGCGCCUGACUUGAUCAACUACAAGACUAUACAUGAGGAAAUUGGACUGAUAUUUGUAAAACAUUCAAAUCAAAGCCAUCUUAUGAAGGUCCAGUGAGCUUAUUAGGCCCUUAUUGCCAUAAUUCAUGUUUCUUGACUAUUUCCUUUCUUAUUUCCAUGAGUAUGUUUGUAAUUAAUGAUAAGGAAGCUAGGAUAAGUUUUGUGCUGUCUUCCUAAUGCACAACCAUACCAUCAAUUUAAAUUGCUUUUGAUUGUUAGCAUUUUUGUGACCUCACUUGUUUUUCAACAUAGAUAAGGCCCCUGUUAUCUUCUCUUUCCUCUUAGCUAUCCGUCCAGUCUUCAGAGCACUCAGGAUUUUUUCCUUGCAUCAUUAUAGAAUAGUGUAACCUGGCCUCCUGAGCUAGCCAGCUACCAGGUCAGCAGUGGAGAGAUUCCAGUGUCACCGCACUCAGCCUAGUGAGCUAUAUGACUUCAGGGGUACACUGAGUUUCCUCCCUCUGUAAGUUCCAAGUCUUCCACACCUGUGACUCAGCUCUCAAACACUCCAGAAAAGCUUUUCAAAUUAUUGGUGUCUUUGCAUCAUUAAAUGGCCUCAUUAACUGAACUGCUAUUAGUGGAGAAAGUUCAAUCUCAUGGAAGUAGCUAGUUCCAUGAUUUUGGUUUUAUUAAGGUACGGAUCUUCUGAUGAUUUGGAAGUCUUGGUUGAUGAUAAAAACUUUGAAAAUAAUAUGUGGCCUCGAAGAAUUAUUUAAAAUAUAUAUUAUAAAUGACCAUAGUAGAAAAGGGGAUACUUUGAUUUUUUUUACCAGAUAGUUAAUAUUGGAAAGUUCACCAGCCUUUUAAGUGAAUGCCAUUUGUUCCUUGUGAGGGGUCAGGUCCCAUCUCUUCUUUUCCUAGCUACUACUGCAUAAGCACAUCCUCACUUUCCUGGACUUUUGUUUCCAAUCUUUUUAAAAAAAAAAUUGAGGAUAGUAAUGUAUCCCGCAAGGAACUGUUUUGAGGGACAAAUAAUAGCAUGAUGUUGCCUCACAGCAAUCCAUCCUAGCACAGGUUUUGUAAUCUAAUAAGACAAAUAAAAUAAAAGUAAUACUUUUUCCGUGCUUUAUUCCCAAGGCUCUUUUGGAGUGUUGUAGUAUCAAGUACUAAGGUAGAACUUUUCAUGAUGGAAGCUAGUGGUAUUUAGAGGAGUGCUUCUGUGCAUUUGUGCACAUUCCUCCCUUCAGUAGCUCUUCCAGGGACACAUAGCUUUGUUUUAUAGAAAGGAAAGGAAGGGUGGGCAUGGAGGCAAACACUUACAGCUCUAGCACUUAGGAAUCGGAGACGGAAGAAUCACAACUUCUAGACCACUGUUAGCUACAUAGAGAACCUGUCUCAUAAAACCCAGCAAAACAAUUAGCAGGAGGGUGUAUCAUGGAAUAGGCAUUACUUAUUUGUCAGUACUUGAAGUUAGCUCUGACUCUAGAAUUCAUAUUUUUCCUCCCAUAUAUACUUCUCCAUCUGGGUGCUGGCAGGUGUUGAGUAUGAAAGUGUAGACUCCAAGAAGUCAGUGGCAUAUGGAACAUCAACUUUUUCCACAUUUACCUGGCACAGGAUCUGAAGACAGGCACACAAGUUUCAAUUAGCUAUAAUGUUGACCCUUGAUAAGGAAAUGUAGAUGAGGGUGCCAAGAGGGCAGGAUCCCACUCAGCUAAGCUUCUGACUUGUGAAAGAGCCUAGGAGUUUUCUGCUGCUAGAAAUCAACUGAAUUUAAAAAUAAAAAUGCUGCUUAUAUCAAGGGAGACAGGGCCCAUUCCAGGUGAUGGCCAAACUUUGCAGUGUCAUCCACGUGGUUCUGCCUUUAGAUGCAACAGUAAAGGUGUCAUGGAUUCUUCCUUCAUAGUUUUAAAAAGUCAUUGAAACUAGGGAGAGAGAGUGUGGCAACAGAGUUCAUGUGGGAAGACCCUGAGAGGGUUACAGGCCUUGAAAGCCCAUGGUGUAAAGCUAUGAAAGGAAAGCCUGGGUUGCAGUGGAGACCCCAAGAUAUUGGAGAUGCCAGAGAUAUGUGAUAUUUGCUGUGGAGAGACCUGUAGACAGGGAGUGGAACCAGCCCAAGAGAGAGAGAUAUGUUAUAGGCAGCAAAGGUGCCUACAAAGGAGGCAUCUAAAUGCUUUGACAAUGGAUAUUGACCUCUUGGAUUUGGAAUUUAUCUUUCUGGAUUUGGUUUUGGUUUAAUUUAGUGUUUCCCUAUGUGACCUAUCCUCUUGUUUAGAAUGGUAAUGUAUAUUUUGUGCCAUUAUGUGGUGAAUAUAUAUAAUUUAUUUUCUGACUUUAUGAGGUCUACAAUUAAGAAAUUGCCUUGAGAGCUGAGAGGGCUUGCAGCCCCAUGGAGGGAGCAACAAUGUCAACCAGCCAGACCCCCCGGAGCUCCUGAGGACUGGACCACCAACCUAAGGGUACACAUGGAGAGAGCCAUGGCUCUGGGCGUAUAUGUGUCAGAGGAUGGCCUUGUUGAACAUCGAUGGGAGGAGAGGCCCUUGGGCCUGAGGAUUCUCAAUGUCCCAGUCAGUGUAGGGGAAUGCCAUGGCAGGGAGACAGGAGUGUGUGUGUGUGUGUGUGGGGGGGGGGGGGGCAAUCUCAUAGAGGCAGUGGGAGCGGGGAUGGGAUACAGGGUUUCUGAAGGGGAGACCUGGAAAGGGGAAAACAUUCAAAAUGUAAAUAAAGAAAAUAUCCAAGAAAGAAGGAAAGC